GACCCGUCUUGAAACACGGACCAUGGAGUCUAACAUGUAUGCGAGUCAUGAGGUUUUACGAAACCUAAAGGCGCAGUGAAAGUAAAGAUGUGACUUGUGCACAUUGAGGUGGGAUUUUAUGAAAUAUAGUGUAAAAAUUAUAUGGAUUAAACGCACCACCGGCUCGUCCUAUGACUUUUAGUCGGGGCGAAGCAAGAGCACCCAUGUUGGGACCCGAAAGAUGGUGAACUAUGCUUGUGUAGGUUGAAGCCAGAGGAAACUCUGGUGGAGGACCGAAGCGCUUCUGACGUGCAAAUCGAUCGUCAGAGCUGGGUAUAGGGGCGAAAGACUAAUCGAACUAUCUAGUAGCUGGUUCCCUCCGAAGUUUCCCUCAGGAUAGCUGGCACACGGGAACUAAACAGUUUUAUCCGGUAAAGCGAAUGAUUAGAAGUAUUGGGGACGAAAUGUCCUCAACUUAUUCUCAAACUUUAAAUGGGUGAGAUGAUGGUCUCUCUUAAUUUGGAGUCUUGUCAUCGAAUGUGAGUGGCUAGUGGGCCAUUUUUGGUAAGCAGAACUGGCGAUGCGGGAUGAACCGAAAGUUGGGUUAAGGUGCCAAAGAAAACGCUCAUGAGAUACCUCAAAAGGUGUUGGUUGAUAUAGACAGCAGGACGGUGGUCAUGGAAGUCGAAAUCCGCUAAGGAGUGUGU
rnacentral:rRNA from 1 species